AGAUUGAACGCUGGCGGCAUGCCUAACACAUGCAAGUCGAACGGCAGCGCGGGUAGCAAUACCUGGCGGCGAGUGGCGGACGGGUGAGGAAUACAUAGGAAUCUACCCUGUCGUGGGGGAUAACGUAGGGAAACUUACGCUAAUACCGCAUACGACCGAGAGGUGAAAGCGGCGGACCGCAAGGCGUCGCGCGGCUGGAUGAGCCUAUGUCCGAUUAGCUAGUUGGCGGGUAAGAGCCCACAAGGCGACGAUCGGUAGCUGGUCUGAGAGGAUGAUCAGCCACACUGGGACUGAGACACGGCCCAGACUCCUACGGGAGCAGCAGUGGGAAUAGUGGACAAGUGGGACGCAAGCCUAGAUCCAGCAAGUGCCGCGUGUGU
rnacentral:rRNA from 1 species